rnacentral:rRNA from 1 species
GUGAACGCUGGCGGUAGGCCUAACACCUGCAAGUCGCACGGCAGCACAGUAAGAGCUUGCUCUUACGGGUGGCGAGUGGCGGACGGGUGAGGAAUACAUCGGAAUCUACUUUUUCGUGGGGGAUAACGUAGGGAAACUUACGCUAAUACCGCAUACGACCUACGGGUGAAAGCAGGGGAUCUUCGGACCUUGCGCGAUUGAAUGAGCCGAUGUCGGAUUAGCUAGUUGGCGGGGUAAAGGCCCACCAAGGCGACGAUCCGUAGCUGGUCUGAGAGGAUGAUCAGCCACACUGGAACUGAGACACGGCCCAGACUCCUACGGGAGGCAGCAGUGGGGAAUAUUGGACAAUGGGCGCAAGCCUGAUCCAGCCAUACCGCGUGGGUGAAGAAGGCCUUCGGGUUGUAAAGCCCUUUUGUUGGGAAAGAAAAGCAGCAGGUUAAUACCCCGCUGUUCUGACGGUACCCAAAGAAUAAGCACCGGCUAACUUCGUG